GAAAUGCGAUAAGUAAUGUGAAUUGCAGAAUUCAGUGAAUCAUCGAAUCUUUGAACGCACAUUGCGCCCGCCAGUAUUCUGGCGGGCAUGCCUGUUCGAACGUCAUUUCAACCAUCAAGCCCCCGGCUUGUGUUGGGGACCUGCGGCUGCCCGCAGGCCCUGAAAAACAGUGGCGGGCUCGCUGUCACACCGAGCGUAGUAGCAUACAUUCUCGCUCAGGGCGUGCUGCGGGUUCCGGCCGUUAAACGACCUUCAUAACCCAAGGUUGACCUCGGAUCAGGUAGGAAGACCCGCUGAACUUAAGC
rnacentral:misc_RNA from 1 species